GCGAGUCGAGCGGAAACGACAUUAACAAUCCUUCGGGUGCGUUAAUGGACGUCGAGCGGCGGACGGGUGAGUAAUGCCUAGGAAAUUGCCUUGAUGUGGGGGAUAACCAUUGGAAACGAUGGCUAAUACCGCAUAAUGCCUACGGGCCAAAGAGGGGGAUCUUCGGACCUCUCGCGUCAAGAUAUGCCUAGGUGGGAUUAGCUAGUUGGUGAGGUAAUGGCUCACCAAGGCGACGAUCCCUAGCUGGUCUGAGAGGAUGAUC
rnacentral:rRNA from 1 species